rnacentral:rRNA from 1 species
GUCCACGCCCUAAACGGUGGGUACUAGGUGUGGGGCUCGCAAGGGUUCCGUGCCGAAGGGAAACCAUUAAGUACCCCGCCUGGGGAGUACGGCCGCAAGGUUGAAACUCAAAGGAAUUGACGGGGGCCCGCACAAGCGGUGGAGCAUGUGGUUUAAUUCGACGCAACGCGAAGAACCUUACCUGGGCUUGACAUACAGGUAGUAGGAAACCGAAAGGGGACCGAUUCGUAGCAAUACGAAAGCCUGAACAGGUGCUGCAUGGCUGUCGU